UACGUAGGGUGCGAGCGUUAAUCGGAAUUACUGGGCGUAAAGCGUGCGCAGGCGGUUCGUUAAGUUCGAUGUGAAAGCCCCGGGCUCAACCUGGGAACUGCAUUGGAAACUGGCGAGCUUGAAUGCGGCAGAGGGGGGUGGAAUUCCGCGUGUAGCAGUGAAAUGCGUAGAGAUGCGGAGGAACACCGAUGGCGAAGGCAGCCCCCUGGGCCGACAUUGACGCUCAGGCGCGACAGCGUGGGGAUCAAACAGG
rnacentral:rRNA from 1 species